rnacentral:rRNA from 1 species
UGGGGGAAUAUUGGACAAUGGGGGAAACCCGUGAUCCAGCGACGCCGCGUGAGUGAAGAAGUAUUUCGGUAUGUAAAGCUCUAUCAGCAGGGAAGAAAAAAUAGACGGUACCUGACUAAGAAGCCCCGGCUAACUACGUGCCAGCAGCCGCGGUAAUACGUAGGGGGCAAGCGUUGUCCGGAAUGACUGGGCGUAAAGGGUGUGUAGGCGGUUUUACAAGUUAGAUGUGAAAUACCCAGGGCUUAACUCGGGUGCUGCAUCUAAGACUGUAAGACUUGAGUGUCGGAGAGGUAAAUGGAAUUCCUAGUGUAGCGGUGGAAUGCGUAGAUAUUAGGAGGAACACCAGUGGCGAAGGCGGUUUACUGGACGAUAACU